CCUUGAGCUCUCCGCAAUAAAACUUUUUGAUGUUAGCCUUGCUAAUUGCCGAGGUCCUCUUCCAGGAUUGGCUGUCCCCUCAUAACCAUAAGAUAAUUAAAACAAGGGGGGGCAGAGUUAAAAAAAAACUUUUUUUUUUUAUCAUCCAGAGGUUAAUGCAAGUGUUUAACAGAUGCUUCACUAUUAAAAUAUUUUACCCCAGGUCUCAAAUAUUGAAGAAUCUUAGACCAGGGACAUCAGCCCCAACGGAGACUUCAGACUUCGGACGAUUUCAAAGUGUGGGCACCUCGAUUCCCCCAAUCUUUGGUGUGGUCGGGAUCCGUGUUCCUCUGGUUUAACUAGCCUGUUUGAAGGCGCAGUUCAUUGCUAGGAAAGUACAACUGAAAGCACUCCUCCCCAUACUCCUGGGGUCUUCACUUUCCUGGUCCACAUCUGCUUGUGACUUCAGAAAGAAACUUCAUGUUGGCCAAGCUGCCUGAAGACCCAGCCAGCCUGACAGCGAUGGGUGCCAGCCCCGCCAGGUGUGCCUUCCCGCGCCGCCCAUCCAGGGGCGUCUCCUGUCGCCGACUCCUCCAUCCAGCCUCCGUCCCUGGAGCGGCGCAAAAGUGCGGCUCCCCCGGGGAUCGCCGGGGCCUCGACCCUCGCAGGACAGUGGGCGCUGGGCAGCGGGUCGCGGGACGGCGGUAGCGCCAAGAUGGUAUCGGGGGCACGAGGCUUGGCCGGAGCCGCCACCCCGAGUUAAGCCUGCACCCCACCGCUCUUGCCAUCCUGGUUCAAUUCUCAUUUUCAUCCCCAACCCUCUCUCGGUUCCCAACAUCCAGAAGACAGUUCUCGGCAGGUCGCGGCUCCGGGAGGGGUGGAACCUCAGUUUCCCCAGCGCGUCCGCGAGGACUUUUCUCCCUCCGCGGGCGGGAGGGGGUUAAACGCACCCCUCUCGCGCCCUCAGUUUGAAGCCCCUGGCGCUGGGCGAAGGCCGCCGCGGGUUCCCUCUUGAGGUCUCAUUAGGGAAACCCUCACCGCUAUUUUCAACAUUUCCUCAAUCAAAAGCGUCUUUAAAUAGAGCUGCACAAACAAAUUGGCGGCAAAAGCGCAGAUCUUGUCACGACGGAGACCAAUCCAGUAUUUCAGUCUUGUUUGCUUUGCAAUUACGGGCUGGCUUGUGGCUGCGGUGCCGCCGGGGCCACUCGGUGAGGGUGCGCUUUCUCCUCGGCCCCCCGGGCGGCUCAGGGAGCGACCGCAGAGCCGCCACGGCCGGAGGGGACGGGUCGGGACUGCGCGGGCGAGGGGGCCUUUUCCAGAUUCUCCUGCCGGGCGCGCAGAGCCGUGCUGAAGGAGACACUUUCCAAGUUCCAGACCGAGCCACUGAGGCACGGAUGACAAUAAAGAGCGUGAUGCACAUUCGGACACAGCGUUGCGUCCUUACCAGCUUCCUUUGUGUCCUGCGCUCCCUGGCCCCCUCUCUGUCUUGGGUACAUUUUUAUUCAGUGUGUGUUAGCGGUUACUGCACUUCCCUUCUCCCUUGGUGUUAAACUGCUAGCAUGAUUUGUUAUAUUUUCCAUAGCUGCUCGUGCUUGUUUGACUUUUUGUAGAAAGUCCCUUUAAAUCUGCUGCAGAAACCAAGCCCAAGACCCGUGGACGGGCUCCUGCAGGGACGUGGCCGCCUCCAGCCUACUUUGAGUUCUUCCCGGGAAGCUCUUCUGCAUAAAUGAGCCUCUGGGUGCCUGGGUCACCGCCCAGGCGAGCAUAGUUUGUAUCAGCAGAACAGUAGUUAACCCCAAUCCGGUCCUAAGCCUUACAUUUCACAGACCAUUAAAUCUUGGCCGCCGUUUAACAAAAUUGUAAUAUUUACUCUGCUCUAUAUGGAGGAGCACUUUUAAAGUAAAAAGCAAAUACAUUUCAAAAAGAAAA